rnacentral:rRNA from 1 species
UACAGAGGUGUCAAGCGUUGCUCGGUAUCACUGGGCUUAAAGGGCGCGUAGGCUGUGCGGUACGGUUCGGGUGAAAUCCCUCGGCUCAACCGAGGAACUGCCCGGGCGACGGCCGCGCUGGACUGCAUUAGGGGACGAUGGAACUCCAGGUGUAGCGGUGAAAUGCGUAGAUAUCUGGAGGAACACCGGUGGCGAAGGCGGCAUCCUGGACCGGUAUUGACGCUGAUGCGCGAAAGCCAGGGGAGCAAACGGG